rnacentral:pre_miRNA from 1 species
AAAGUACUCCCUCUGUCCCAAAAUUCUUGUGUGAUAUUUGUUUAGAUACAAAUGUAUCUAGUCAAAUUUAGUAUUUAGAUACAUACAUUUCUAAACAAAGCUAAGACAAGAAUUUUGGGACGGAGGGAGUAUCAU